rnacentral:lncRNA from 1 species
GAUGUUCAACUUAGCAAGUUUUCCUUAAUAUGAUUAUGCGUUUCGUUUAUGUGAGCCAUUAACUUGUAGCUGAUUGUACGAGAUUAUUUUGCUAUUUUUCAUAAUCCGGGAGCAAGUGACGAUGAAGUUCUAUAGCAUUUUUUCUUAAACAAGUUGUAAAAGUUGCCAAGAUUGGAUUUUUAAUUUUUCCGCUGCUAUUUUGCACUAUCUCAGCUUAUUAUAUGAAACCC